CCUACGUGAGGCAGCAGUGAGGAAUAUUGGUCAAUGGCCGCAAGGCUGAACCAGCCAUGUCGCGUGAGGGCAGACGGCCCUAUGGAUUGUAACCCCCUUUUGUCAGGGCGCAAAGGGCGCUGCGUGUACCGUUUUGUGAUUACUGUACGAAAAAGAAUCGGCUAACUCCGUGCCAGCAGCCGCGGUAAUACGGAGGAUGCGAGCGUUAUCCGGAUUUGCUGGGUGUAAAGGGAGCGUAGACGGCUGUGCAAGUCGGAAGUGAAAGCGCCGGGCUUAACCUCGGAAUUGCUUUGGAUACUGUAUAGCUUGAGUACUGGAGAGGCAGGUGGAAUUCCUAGUGUAGCGGUGAAAUGCUUAGAUAUCACGAAGAACUCCGAUGGCGAAGGCAGCUUACUAAACUGCAACUGACAUUGAUGCUCGAAAGUGUGGGUAUCAAACAGGAUUAGAUACCCGUGUAGUC
rnacentral:rRNA from 1 species